UUAGUUAGUUGGUAGGGUAACGGCUUACCAAGGCAUCGAUCCUUAGGGGAACUGAGAGGUUUAUCCCCCACACUGGUACUGAGACACGGACCAGACUCCUACGGGAGGCAGCAGUGAGGAAUAUUGGUCAAUGGGCGAGAGCCUGAACCAGCCAAGUCGCGUGAAGGAAGACGGUAUUAUGUAUUGUAAACUUCUUUUAUAGGGGAAUAAAGUGCGGGAUGUAUCCUGUUUUGUAUGUACCCUAUGAAUAAGCAUCGGCUAACUCCGUGCCAGCAGCCGCGGUAAUACGGAGGAUGCGAGCGUUAUCCGGAUUUAUUGGGUUUAAAGGGUGCGUAGGUGGGCUUGUAAGUCAGUGGUGAAAUCCCGAUGCUUAACAUCGGCACUGCCAUUGAAACUGCGGGUCCUGAGUGUGAGCGGGGUAGGCGGAAUUCGUAGUGUAGCGGUGAAAUGCAUAGAUAUUACGAAGAACACCGAUAGCGUAGGCAGCUUACCAGGACACAACUGACACUGAGGCACGAAAGUGUGGGUAUCAAACAGGAUUAGAUACCCUGGUAGUCCACACAGUAAACGAUGAAUACUAGGUGUUUGCGAUAUAUUGUAAGCGCCCGAGCGAAAGCGUUAAGUAUUCCACCUGGGGAGUACGCCGGCAACGGUGAAACUCAAAUGAAUUGACGG
rnacentral:rRNA from 1 species